rnacentral:rRNA from 1 species
GACGUAGGGCGCGAGCGUUGUCCGGAUUUAUUGGGCGUAAAGAGCUCGUAGGCGGCUUGUCGCGUCGACUGUGAAAUCCCGCGGCUCAACUGCGGGUCUGCAGUCGAUACGGGCAGGCUAGAGUUCGGUAGGGGAGACUGGAAUUCCUGGUGUAGCGGUGAAAUGCGCAGAUAUCAGGAGGAACACCGAUGGCGAAGGCAGGUCUCUGGGCCGAUACUGACGCUGAGGAGCGAAAGCUAGGGGGAGCAAACGGG